rnacentral:tRNA from 1 species
AUUUAUAUAGUUUAACAAAAACUUUACAUUUUCAUUGUAAAAAUAAAAUUAUUAUUUUUUUAUAAAUA